rnacentral:rRNA from 1 species
UAAAUCAAAACAUAGCAACCUCAUGACCAAGAUUUUGUAGAGCAUAUACGUACGGGGGAACAUGCUCGACCUGGGUGGCGUAAUUGACGGGUAAGGCACAAUUAAAAACGUCGGCGGAACGUGACAAAGAAACGAGGGGAGCGGCAUCAGCAAGGGUACUAGGGUAGCAAUAGAGGAGGGGUGCGGGUGCGGGCGUGGUGGCCCUCAAUGAUCGGGGCGGGGUGUGGUGUUUAGGUGUUAGGUAGACGAAAGGAGGCAGCGUCGCUCGUUGCCGGCACGAGGCCGGGCGCGGCGGCGCGGGGUGCCCCGAUUGGCGUCGAGGGGAACGGAGGACAUGCCGGACCGUGGCGGAGGUUGCGGUGGGUGCGCAGCGGCCACGAGCCCUGCUUCGAGACGACGGUGUAGCGGGGGUAGGUGGCUGCCUAGGCUGGAGGGUGCGGUGGAGCGUGUACCGGCAGCUACUUAGGUCCAUGACACCUUUUUCGUACUGCCGCUGCUCGACAGUGAUGUCUAGACCGUGCCCGACUCUGAAGCCCCUACUUCCGGCCGCUGUUCCGUUCCUGGUUAGGCCGCUCGAGAAGUGGUUCAGUAAAACAAAGGAGCAAAAAAGAGAGACUUUAUAAAGAAAGGAACAAAAAAGAGAGACUUUUGACAUCAAGAAAGGAGCUAAAAAGAGAGCUCCAAAGGACCUUAAGAAAAAGUCUCUAUUCUAACUACGCCGCUCGAGAAGAGGUUCAGUAAAAUAAACGAGAAAAAAAGAGAGAUUUUUCAAAGGAUCUGUAAAAAACAUCCUCUAAUCUAAACACCACAAGUUUAGACCAAAAAAAAAGCUGCCACUGUUUAGACUCUUUAGAUAUCAAAAGAGUACUGACACUAAACGUUAAAAAGUGGAAGUUUUGAACCCGUAGAAUGUAAAACCCCAAAUAACAGGAGAAGAAUAAACUUUAAAACAACUAAUUAGUCACGUAAAAAUAGUCACUUUAAGGUGUUUCACGAAAAAGCUCAUCAAUAUAACGAGCUAAUUACUCAACAACUACCUAUACAUUAAUAUCAAUAAAAAACAACGCAGCGUCUUAUUAGAGUAGUUCAUAAUAGUGACAGUUUCAACAUUUAAACAACUACCUAGAUGGCAGAAACUUACAUAAACGACUGUUUGAUACAAUAAACUUUAGUCAAACAGUUCUAAGUGGCAAUUCAAUUAAAAACACUUAGUACAUACCCGUAAUAAAAAAACACGUACCUACCCAGACUACUUCCCUCAACAAAGGUCGAUUACUUUUAUUCCGUCACUUAAAAGAACGGUCGAGGCUGAAUCGACAAGAACGUACGUCAACAGUCACGGUUAAACGUCACAAUUAAGGCAUGUCACCGAUUAAUUGAUGGGUCCUUCGUACUAGUGACUAUAUUCGAAGAAAAAGCAAGUGAACAAGUGAUUUGGAUACAACAGACACCAACCAUUACAUAACAGUCAAAAUUUUAGUUCCGUGUCGAUUAAUUGCUAGGUGCUUCGAAACAUGUGACUGGAAGAGCCAUUCGAACGGGGGAUGUUAAAAGUUUACACAACGACUGUGCCACAUGACAGUCCAGAUAUAAAAACCGGGUACAUUAGGAACCAAAUGUCUUCACACAUCAUCUACUUUAUGUGACAGUCACAAUUUGUGAUAACAAAGGUUUAAAAUUAGAAAUACGGACGUGGUUAGAGAGGUGUUAAAGUG